rnacentral:rRNA from 1 species
ACUCCUACGGGAGGCAGCAGUGGGGAAUAUUGCACAAUGGGCGCAAGCCUGAUGCAGCCAUGCCGCGUGUAUGAAGAAGGCCUUCGGGUUGUAAAGUACUUUCAGCAGUGAGGAAGGUGGUAGUGUUAAUAGCACUAUCAUUUGACGUUAGCUGCAGAAGAAGCACCGGCUAACUCCGUGCCAGCAGCCGCGGUAAUACGGAGGGUGCGAGCGUUAAUCGGAAUUACUGGGCGUAAAGCGCAUGCAGGUGGUUUGUUAAGUCAGAUGUGAAAGCCCGGGGCUCAACCUCGGAAUAGCAUUUGAAACUGGCAGACUAGAGUACUGUAGAGGGGGGUAGAAUUUCAGGUGUAGCGGUGAAAUGCGUAGAGAUCUGAAGGAAUACCGGUGGCGAAGGCGGCCCCCUGGACAGAUACUGACACUCAGAUGCGAAAGCGUGGGGAGCAAACAGGAUUAGAUACCCUGGUAGGAUAGCG